GACGAACGCUGGCGGCGUGCUUAACACAUGCAAGUCGAACGGAAAGGCCCUGCUUUUGUGGGGUGCUCGAGUGGCGAACGGGUGAGUAACACGUGAGUAACCUGCCCUUGACUUUGGGAUAACUUCAGGAAACUGGGGCUAAUACCGGAUAGGAGCUCCUGCUGCAUGGUGGGGGUUGGAAAGUUUCGGCGGUUGGGGAUGGACUCGCGGCUUAUCAGCUUGUUGGUGGGGUAGUGGCUUACCAAGGCUUUGACGGGUAGCCGGCCUGAGAGGGUGACCGGCCACAUUGGGACUGAGAUACGGCCCAGACUCCUACGGGAGGCAGCAGUGGGGAUUAUUGCACAAUGGGCGGAAGCCUGAUCCAGCAACGCCGCGUGCGGGAUGACGGCCUUCGGGUUGUAAACCGCUUCCGCCUGUGACGAAGCGUGAGUGACGGUAAUGGGUAAAGAAGCACCGGCUAACUACGUG
rnacentral:rRNA from 1 species